rnacentral:rRNA from 1 species
GACGAACGCUGGCGGCGUGCUUAACACAUGCAAGUCGAACGGAAAGGCCCUGCUUUUGUGGGGUGCUCGAGUGGCGAACGGGUGAGUAACACGUGAGUAACCUGCCCUUGACUUUGGGAUAACUUCAGGAAACUGGGGCUAAUACCGGAUAGGAGCUCCUGCAGCAUGGUGGGGGUUGGAAAGUUUCGGCGGUUGGGGAUGGACUCGCGGCUUAUCAGCUUGUUGGUGGGGUAGUGGCUUACCAAGGCUUUGACGGGUAGCCGGCCUGAGAGGGUGACCGGCCACAUUGGGACUGAGAUACGGCCCAGACUCCUACGGGAGGCAGCGGUGGGGAAUAUUGCACAAUGGGCGGAGGCCUGAUGCAGCAACGCCGCGUGCGGGAUGACGGCCUUCGGGUUGUAAACCGCUUUCGCCUGUGACGAAGCGUGAGUGACGGUAAUGGGUAAAGAAGCACCGGCUAACUACGU